rnacentral:rRNA from 1 species
AUCCGGAGGGUGCAAGCGUUAUUCGGAAUCACUGGGCGUAAAGGACGCGUAGGCGGGUUGGCAAGUCAGAUGUGAAAUCCUACAGCUUAACUGUAGAACUGCAUUUGAAACUGCUAACCUAGAGUAUGGGAGGGGGAGAUGGAAUUAGUGGUGUAGGGGUAAAAUCCGUAGAUAUCACUAGGAAUACCGAAAGCGAAGGCGAUCUCCUGGAACAUAACUGACGCUAAGGCGUGAAAGCGUGGGGAGCAAACAGGAUUAGAGACCCUAGUAGUCC